GAACGCUAGCGGCAGGUCUAAUACAUGCAAGUCGAGGGGCAGCACAGGUAGCAAAAUACUGGGUGGCGACCGGAAGAAACGCACGGGAUGCGUAACAGUCGUAUACAAUCUGCCCAUAUCAGGGGACAUAGCCUUCGGAUCCGAAAUUCGGAUUAAUGCCCCAUAACAUAGUGAAUUGGCAUCAAUUUAUUAUUAAAGUUCCGACGGAUAUGGAUGAGUAUGCGGAUGAUUAGCUAGUUGGUAGUGUAAUGGACUACCAAGGCUACGAUCAAUAGGGGUACUGAGAGGUUAAACCCCCACACUGGUACUGAAGACACGGGACCAGAUUCCUACGGGAGGCAGCAGUAAGGAUUAUUGGAACAAGCUUGGUGGCAACACUGAUUCAGCCCUUGCCGCCUGGCAGGAUGAAAGCCCCUCCCGUUGUAAACCUGCUUUUGGACCGGAAAAAAACUAAUCUAGGGGUAAAUAAAAAAAAAGUUACCGUAUGAAUAAACCUUCGUCUAACUUCGUGGCCAGGCAGCCGAGGUAAUUCGAAGUAUGCAAGCCUUAUCAGGAUUUAUCGGGUUUAAUGGGUACGUAGGCGGACUUAUAAGUCAGUGGUGAAAUACUCCGAUGCUUAACAUCGAACGUGCCAUUGAUACUGUAGGUCUUGAGUACAGAUCCCGUUGGCGGAAUGAGUCAUGUAGCGGUGAAAUGCAUAGAUAUGGGAGGAGAACACCGAUUGUCGAAGGCAGCUGACGAAACUGUAACUGACACCUGCUGAGGCACGAAAGCGUGGGGAUCAACACAAAAUUAGAUACCCUUUUGAGUAGUCCACGCCCUAAAAUCCGCUUACUCAUUCUGUGCGUCCUAUACACAGCCGCUAGCACAUUCAGCGAAGCAGCUACACGGCUAAGUAAUCCACCAAGAAACUUCUCUCGCAAGGGUGAAACUCAAAGGAAUUGACGGGGGCCCGCACAAGCGGAGGAGCAUGUGGUUUAAUUCGAUGAUACGCGAGGAACCUUACCCGGGCUUGAAAGUUAGUGACCGGUGGUGAAAGCCACUUUUCAGCAAUGACACGAAACUAGGUGCUGCAUGGCUGUCGUCAGCUCGUGCCGUGA
rnacentral:rRNA from 1 species